rnacentral:rRNA from 1 species
CCUACGGGAGGCAGCAGUGGGGAAUAUUGCGCAAUGGACGAAAGUCUGACGCAGCCACGCCGCGUGAGUGAUGAAGGCCUUAGGGUUGUAAAGCUCUGUCGGGAGGGACGAAGGUAGUUUACUACUUGACGGUACCUCGCAAGAAAGCACCGGCUAACUCCGUGCCAGCAGCCGCGGUAAUACGGAGGGUGCAAGCGUUGCUCGGAAUCACUGGGCGUAAAGCGAGCGCAGGCGGCUAAAUAAGUCGGGUGUGAAAGCCCGGGGCUCAACCCCGGAACUGCAUCCGAAACUGUUUAGCUAGAGUACAGAAGAGGAAGGGGGAAUUCCAGGUGUAGAGGUGAAAUUCGUAGAUAUCUGGAGGAACACUCGUGGCGAAGGCGCCUUUCUGGUCUGGUACUGACGCUCAUGCUCGAAAGCGUGGGGAGCAAACAGGAUUAGAU